rnacentral:rRNA from 1 species
UACGUAGGGUGCGAGCGUUAAUCGGAAUUACUGGGCGUAAAGCGUGCGCAGGCGGUUUUGUAAGCCAGAUGUGAAAGCCCCGGGCUUAACCUGGGAAUGGCAUUUGGGACUGCAAGGCUGGAGUGUGGCAGAGGAGACUGGAAUUCCACGUGUAGCAGUGAAAUGCGUAGAGAUGUGGAGGAACACCGAUGGCGAAGGCAGCCCCCUGGGUUAACACUGACGCUCAGGCACGAAAGCGUGGGGAGCAAACAGG